UACGGAGGGUGCAAGCGUUACCCGGAUUCACUGGGUUUAAAGGGUGCGUAGGUGGGUCUGUAAGUCAGUGGUGAAAUCUCCGAGCUUAACUCGGAAACUGCCAUUGAUACUAUAGGUCUUGAAUCAUCUGGAGGUAAGCGGAAUAUGUCAUGUAGCGGUGAAAUGCUUAGAUAUGACAUAGAACACCAAUUGCGAAGGCAGCUUACUACGGGUGUAUUGACACUGAGGCACGAAAGCGUGGGGAUCAAACAGG
rnacentral:rRNA from 1 species